CCCGGCGGCGAUAGCGCGGUGGUCCCACCUGACCCCAUGCCGAACUCAGAAGUGAAACGCCGUAGCGCCGAUGGUAGUGUGGGGUCUCCCCAUGUGAGUAGGGAACUGCCAGGC
rnacentral:rRNA from 1 species